GAGUUUGAUCCUGGCUCAGGAUUAACGCUAGCGGCAGGCCUAAUACAUGCAAGUCGAACGGGAUUAGUUGUAGCAAUACGACUAUGAGAGUGGCGCACGGGUGCGUAACACGUAUGCAACCUACCUGUAACUGGGGGAUAGCCUCCUGAAAGGGAGAUUAAUACCGCAUAAUAUUAUGAAGUGGCAUCACUUUAUAAUUAAACCUCCGGGGGUUACAGAUGGGCAUGCGUCCGAUUAGCUAGUUGGUGAGGUAACGGCUCACCAAGGCUCCGAUCGGUAGGGGGUCUGAGAGGAUGAUCCCCCACACUGGUACUGAGACACGGACCAGACUCCUACGGGAGGCAGCAGUAAGGAAUAUUGGACAAUGGGCGCAAGCCUGAUCCAGCCAUGCCGCGUGAAGGAUGAAGGCCCUAUGGGUCGUAAACUUCUUUUAUACGGGACAAAACCCCCCGAUGCGUCGGGGGUUGAUGGUACUGUAAGAAUAAGGGUCGGCUAACUUCGUGCCAGCAGCCGCGGUAAC
rnacentral:rRNA from 1 species